GUGGUGGUGGUGGAAGGCGAGGUCGGUUUGGACGUGGAGGGAUGAGGUCGGUGGUGGACAUGGGAGGCAGGGUCGAGAAGCAGAGGAUGGUGAUCGAUGCAACCGGCGGAGCUCUUCCAAAUCAAGUUGCUGGCUGAGAACUGGAUUGUCGGUGCCGUAUCCUAUCCGCGAACGAUUGUCACUGGGAUUGGUUACUCAGAAUUGGAUGGAGAGGUUUUAAAAGCAAAAAGUUUUUUCGUUCGUUCGGUCGUUGUUUGUAGCCUUUGCUCUGCCAAGAAAUGAGAAAGUGGAAAUGAGAAAGUGAUUCCUAGCUUAAUAGCUGUAAAGUUUACUACUUCGAUCUUAUUGCUUUAGUUGGGCAAUAUGAUCUUAAAACAUGUAAUACUAAACUCGAAAA